UAUUAAUGUACUGUCUCUUCAGUAAGUUCCUUUGAAACAUCAUCACAUCUUCAUCUUAAAUCUAGAACUGAGGAAGAAAUAGGACUCAAUUAAUGUGUGACAACAGAUCUCCAAAGAAGUAGUUCUGAUGGUAUAUCCUCAGCAGUGGUAAAGGAGAAUUACAACAUCAUUUAUUCUGACGCUGAGGAAGAGAAAAUCAAUCACCUUUAAGGUCAAACUCCUAGUUUAGAAAGUCAUGUUCAUCUCAGUGUUAUUAUUUGCCUGACUUACUUGUAUCUCACUUGUAUCCCAAGUCAAGCGUUAACCUGGAACUUGGUGUGUCUGUGCACCGAGAUCCACCACGAGUCUUUCCAAACAAGCUCUUUUGUAGGGAUGGAACUCCCCCCCCACCUAGCGGCGAAAUCACAGACCAACACAAAAUGCGAGUGAGUAGCGACGGAUUGUGCAGCACGGAGAUGGCACGCCGAAUGGCUGACACUGUACGGAUUUGAUACUUGGGUUAUUUAUGUGACACUUCAAUAGAGACAGCCUUAAGGGAUGUUUCUUUUCGAGGUCUUCAGCCUUAUGUGCCUGGCUUCCCUCUGAAGAGCUGAAGCAGAGUAGAAGGUGCUGUGACAUGAUGAGCAGUGAGAGGAGGGUGCAGUGGCCACCAGUGGAAAAUCAAAUGAAAAGUGUUCACUACAUUUUCAAAUGAAAGGUGAUGGAGG
ensembl:lncRNA